rnacentral:rRNA from 4 species
UGGUGACUAUAGCAAGGAGGUCACACCUGUUCCCAUGCCGAACACAGAAGUUAAGCUCCUUAGCGUCGAUGGUAGUCGAACUUACGUUCCGC